AUGGCAGCAGUAGAUUUUAACCUCCGCUUCACAUAUGUUUUGGCUGGAUGGGAAGGGUCCGCACACGACGCGACCGUUUUAGCUGAUGCAUUAACUCGUGAGAGAGGCUUACAAGUACCACAUGGAAAGUACUACCUAGUUGAUGCCGGUUAUGGAGCCAAGCCAGGGUUCUUGCCACCUUUUCGUGGCGUGAGGUACCAUUUGAAUGAGUGGGGCAACAAUCCGGUACAAAUUGAUAAGGAGCUAUUCAACCUUAGGCACUCAUCUCUACGGGUUAGAGAGGGCUUUUGGAUCUCUCAAGAGGCGUUUCAAAAUUUUAGAUGA
rnacentral:rRNA from 1 species